GACGAACGCUGGCGGCGUGCUUAACACAUGCAAGUCGAACGGAAAGGCCCAGCUUGCUGGGUACUCGAGUGGCGAACGGGUGAGUAACACGUGGGUGAUCUGCCCUGGACUCUGGGAUAAGCCUGGGAAACUGGGUCUAAUACCGGAUAUGACCUUACAUCGCAUGGUGUUUGGUGGAAAGCUUUUGCGGUUCAGGAUGGGCCCGCGGCCUAUCAGCUUGUUGGUGGGGUAAUGGCCUACCAAGGCGACGACGGGUAGCCGACCUGAGAGGGUGAUCGGCCACACUGGGACUGAGAUACGGCCCAGACUCCUACGGGAGGCAGCAGUGGGGAAUAUUGCACAAUGGGCGCAAGCCUGAUGCAGCGACGCCGCGUGAGGGAUGACGGCCUUCGGGUUGUAAACCUCUUUCACCAGGGACGAAGCGUGAGUGACGGUACCUGGAGAAGAAGCACCGGCCAACUACGUG
rnacentral:rRNA from 1 species